UGAAUUUAAUUUUUAUGCACUAGUUGAGGAUGCAAGUACCCGGAUAUUCUAUGCUCUCUCAAUUUCACAACGCCAAUAAUUUGUGUCACGGGCAAAAGAGCUAUCUUCAAAUUUACCAACAUUACCCGACCCGAAUCGCGCUACCAUCCAUUACAUUUGCACAAGUCACAACGGUCAUCUUUCUUCAUCAAGCUUCAAUUCAAAACCCUAGCAAGUUGUCGCAGGCCAUCUUCUUCUUCCUCAUAAUGGUCAAUCCGAAGCCCUAGCAAUUGGAAAUUGCUUCGCAACCAUACCGCAGUUGUAAAUUGAAAUCGAAACUGUCCUACUUCAACUACACAAUCUAACGAUGGUGAAGAUUUGAGGAAACAUGCAACGAACAUGCCAAUGUCACAGAUUACAGUAGCAAGAACAUGGAGUUGCAACAGCAAGGAGAGGUAUUCCUCUGCGGAUUGUAACACCAGAGCAUUCAGUCAUGUCCAGAUGUU